rnacentral:rRNA from 1 species
AAAGGAUCAUUAUUCGUGACCCUGACCAAAACAGACCGUGCUCGCGUCAUCCAAUCCUCCGACGAUGGCAAUGUUCGUCGUUCGGCCAAUUCCUCGACCGCCUCCACUCCUAGGAGCGGGGGCUCGUGGUAAAAGAACCCACGGCGCCGAAGGCGUCAAGGAACACUGUGCCUAUCCCGGGGAGAUGGCUAGCUUGCUGGUCGUCACCUGUGUUGCAAAUAUAUUUAAUCCACACGACUCUCGGCAACGGAUAUCUCGGCUCUCGCAUCGAUGAAGAACGUAGCGAAAUGCGAUACCUGGUGUGAAUUGCAGAAUCCCGCGAACCAUCGAGUCUUUGAACGCAAGUUGCGCCCGAGGCCACUCGGCCGAGGGCACGCCUGCCUGGGCGUCACGCCAAAACACGCUCCCAACCACCCUCUUCGGGAAUUGGGAUGCGGCAUAUGGUCCCUCGUCCUGCAAGGGGCGGUGGGCCGAAGAUCGGGCUGCCGGCGUACCGCGUCGGACACAGCGCAUGGUGGGCGUCCUUGCUUUAUCAAUGCAGUGCAUCCGACGCGUAGACGGCAUCAUGGCCUCGAAACGACCCAUCGAACGAAGUGCACGUCGCUUCGACCGCGACCCCAGGUCAGGCGGGACUACCCGCUGAGU